AUUCUGAUUACUUGGAAAACGUUAAGGAACUUAUUAAACAUACAUAUUUGGAGAAAUCGGCACUAGCUUAUGCUAAAGAACGUCUCGCGGCUCAUGAGGCUAAACUGACUUCAAAAAUUAAAAAAAUUGUAUCAAUGAAAAAGCAAGAUGACGUACGAAAAAAACAUUCUGGGUAGUUUGACACAUUUAUUUUCUUUAAAAAU